UACGUAGGGGGCAAGCGUUGUCCGGAUUUAUUGGGUUUAAAGGGUGCGUAGGCGGUCUUAUAAGUCAGUGCUGAAAUAUCCCGGCUUAACCGGGAGGGUGGCAUUGAUACUGUAGGACUUGAGUAAAGUUGAGGUUGGCGGAAUUGACGGUGUAGCGGUGAAAUGCUUAGAUAUCGUCAAGAACACCGAUAGUGUAGACAGCUAACUAAGCUUUAACUGACGCUGAGGCACGAAAGUGUGGGGAUCAAACAGG
rnacentral:rRNA from 1 species